rnacentral:tRNA from 1 species
GCGGAAAUAGCUCAGUGGUAGAGCGCAAGUUUCCCAAACUGGAGGUCGCGGGUUCAAUCCCCGUUUUCCGCUCAA